rnacentral:lncRNA from 10 species
CGCGUUUCUGGCGCGUGGUCUUGCAUUUCCUACUUGGUCCUGUUCGUGGCGCCGCGCCUCCGGGUGUUGGGGAGUCCGGGAUGAUGGGGAAUCCGGGGCUCGCCCUAGUCGCGGGGACACCGCCUUCCAGGAGCUGUCCCCAGGCAAACUCACAGACAUCUUCAAAGAGCCUUCUUGGACAUUCUGCUUUUUGCUCCUCAUAACAGGCUUCGAUGGAGUUUCUCUCUUAUUUUCCAGGCUGCAGUACAGUGGCGUGAUCUCGGCUCACUGCAACCUCCACCUCCCAGGUUCAAGCGAUUCUCCUGUCUUAGCCUCACGAGUAGCCGGGAUUACAGGCACAUGCCCCCAUUCCCAGCUAAUUUUUGUAUUUUUAGUAGUGACGGGGUUUCAUCAUAUUGGUCAGGCUGGUCUCAAACUCCUGACCUCAGGUGAUCCGCCUCGGCCUCCCAAAGUGUUGGGAUUACAGGCGUGAGCCACCCACUGUAUCUCUUGUUCGGAGGAAUAUCUAAUCAAGAAAAUCAUUUUUACUGUUUUUAUUUUUUGGUUUGUUCGUUUUUUUCCUGUGAGAUGGAGUUUCACUCUUGUUGCCCAUCCUGGUGUACAAUGGCGCGAUCUCGGCUCACUUCAACCUCCGCCUCCCAGUGCGUCCGGAAUUGGUGGGUUCUUGGUCUCACUGACUUCAAGAAUGAAGCUGCGCACCCUCACGCAUCUCACUCCCACUGCCUAGGCUGGAGUGCAGUGGCACAAUCUCUGCUCACUACAGCCUCAACCUCCAGGAUUCAAGUGAUCUGCCCAUCUCAGCACCACCCGCAGCCCCCAAGUAGCUGGGACUACGCAACUCGCUGCCAAGCCACCAAACAAUUUGUGUUUUUUCUAGAGAUGGGGUUUUGUCAUGUUUGCCAGGCUCAUUCUUACUGUUGAACUGAAUAAUUGAUUUUACCUAGUAAUGAUAUUUUUUAGUUCAUGAACAUAACCAGAUUCACACAAACACACUAUUUUUCUAUAGCAAUCUGUAGGAAUCACAUGCAGAAGAAAAAUCCUUUUCUCCAUAAUAAAACAAGUGAAAGUCAAAGUCUAAUUUGAAAUGUUUUCAAUAAUAAAAUGUGCUAUAUUAUCAAACAUAUAAACUGGUUAUUUAGUAAACCAAUGUUCAUUAAAUUACUAAACACUCUCAGUUCCUGGUUCAAUUACUCUGUUAUUGGCGGGGGGCGGGGGCAGAGGGAAGCAUAAUAAUUUCCACCAACCCUUACGUGAAGAUUUUUUUUCCUUUUAAAUUACCACCCAAUUUGGCAUUUAUUUAAGGUCAGGGCUGUGCUUCCCAUAACUUUGCAGAGUGUGUAACCCGUUGACGAUUUCAGCGCAAGAGACAUUAUUUGAUUUCUUGUGGAAGGCUUACAAAGUAAAGUAUCAAUACCAAACAAGUGCUUGUUGAGUUCUAAAGUUAAAAAAUUAAAAUCGUUCUUUCCUUAGGUAUACAAUUUUAUUGCCAAGCAAUAAAAUUGGCAAGAAAACCAAAGUUAUUGUUCAGUACUUUGUAUUGUUCUACUCUGUGCCCACCAAAUGUCAAAGCACUGGAAGGACAGAGGGACAAGAGGGAUGGCCCUUUCAGGACGGGAACCCACGUCUGGCUGGAGAGAUAAGACCAAUUAUAAUCAGCAAGACAUGGCCAGGAGCUAAAUUAUAAGGAAGAAACUGCUACUGAGGGGGAUCAGGAAAGGAUGCAGAAGAAUGUGCUGGAAAAACAGAGGAGGGUUUCUCAGAAAAAGCAUCUUCCGUCCAAAGAAACAGUGUUUGUACAGGAUGAAAAGUCUGAGGAGGUCAUCUUGGGCAAAGGAAACGGCAGCUAUAAAUAUUUGUGAAUUAACAGAUAUGCUUCCCUGCACAAUGAAUUACCCUUUUUGUCUCCAGUAAGCACCCAGAUCUUAAUGUCAGCUUUUGCAAGUUUUGAAAUGGUUUCUGGAACUCCAUCCUGUAGCUUGUCUUCAAUAGCUGUAGCUCCCAGGAGCUAGAAUGUAUAUUAAAAAAAAAAAAAAAAGGAAUUAGCAAACAAACCAAAAGUUUUCUGUAAUUACAGGUUGCCAACCUGUAAAAAGAAGGGCUAAUUAUACAUCCUGGUUGCUGCUCUCCUGGGGCCAAUGGCCAGUGUUAACAGGGAAGGCUGCCAUGUUUCACAAUUACUGCAAACCAACACACCUAAAAACUUUUUCCCUAAAGGAUGAACUAUUUAAUUUACCAAGACAAAAAUGCAAGUACAAAAUCAAGGAUGUUAAAAAUACACUUUUCUUGUGUAUUUGUGGCUUUAUACUGACAUAAACCGUAAACCAGUUGCAAUACUAGCUAUUUGUUGAAUAUUUUCCACUUAUCUAAACCCUACAAAAACUAUGUAUUAAAUUUGGAAAACUUUUAGAAACAAUAUAUUUUUCUUAUUUCAAGAUUUUGCAGAAUAUGAAUUGUUUCGGUAAUUCCCCCAAUGUAAUAAGUAUUAGAUGCAGGUUUGUUAUUGUUUAAAAAUUAUAAUAAAUUUUAAUAAGUGAUAUACAAAUUAUGGAAUUAAAUUAGAACUUCUCCUAAUGUAUUUUGUCUUUUGGUUUCUCAUAAUGGCAACUUCUGUUCUGCUCCUAUUUUGGUGAAUAAAAGAAAUAACCUUCUUCCAUUGUGCCAGUGUCAAAUGCUGAAGUUACAAUUAUCUCUUAAGCAUGAGAUCAAAUAUUCAAUAAAACUUAAUAAAAAUUUCAAUUCUGCUUAGAAUAUCAAAGAAAAAGUUAUUAAGGCUAAAACUCACAAUUAAGUCUUUUUCAAUCUCCUCAUAUACUUUAUCCAGAGCUUCGUCCCGGUUGGUGGAGGCCACACUGGCAGCCAUAAACUUUUUAUUCCAUUCUGUAAAUUCUUUUUCUUCAAUUUCCUUGUAGCAAAGGCAUAGGGUUCUAAGAGUUUCAUUUGCAAAGAUCUGUUUUAUUUAAAAAAAUAAAUCCACCAAUGCAAAGAAUAGUUAAUUUAUGUAAUUCAGGAUCAAGUCUGAAAUUUUACUUUGAAGUAAUAUACUAACAGAAUUUAAAAAGAGAUCAUUAAACAUGACAGAUUCUGUACAAAUACACUUUAGAGAGGGGAUUAAAUGUCACUUUUUUUUUUUUUGAGACAAGGUCUGGCUUUAUCAUCCAGGCUGGGAUGCAGUGAUGCAAUCCCGGCUCACUGCAACCUCUGCCUUCCAGGCUGAAGCCAUCCUCUCACCUCAGCCUCCCAAGUAGCUGGGACUACAGGUGUGCACCACCACGCCUGGUAAUUUUUGUACUUUUUUUUGUAGAGAUGGGGUUUCAUCAUGCUGGUCUUGAACUCACGAGCUCAUGUGAUCUGCCCAACUCAGCCUCCCAGCGUGCUGGGAUUACAGGCAUGAGCCACUGCACCCAGCCUAAACAUCACUUUAUAAUAGACUUUGCUUUUCUAAACUUCUAUAGGGUCCAGGACUGCACUUCCAGUUUCCAAAGGGAAAAGCUUACCUUUCUUCUAAAUCUUCUAUUACCUUUCUCAUUUUCUCAUUUUCUCUUUUUCUCUUCAUGACUAGGAAAAUAUCAGACCAAGGGAGCUGCCUUGGGGUGUAAUGACAUAAGCACGAACCUGACAACUUUAUAACUUGUUCCAACAAACUGUGAUACAAGUCCAAUCACCUAUGAACUCUCCACUAAGCAUUAUUCCCUCAAACCAAUUCUAAAAUACACAAGCCAUUGUUAAAGCUGAGGUCAAAGCUUUUAAUGGAAAAGAGUAUCUGGCAAUUUUCCCAUGAUGAACGAUUCAAACAUUUUCUUUUUUUUUCUUUUUCUUUUUCUUUUUUUUUUUUUUGAGAUGAAGUCUCACUCUAUCGCCCAGGCUUGAGUGCAGUGGUGCGAUCUCGGUUCACUGCAACCUCUGCCUCCCUGGUUCACGCCAUUCUCCUGCCUCAGCCUCCUGAGUAGCUGGGAUUACAGGCGGGUGCCACUGCAUCUGGCUAAUCUUUGUAUUUUUGGUAGAGACGGGGUUUCACCAUGUUGGCCAGGAUGGUCUCGAUCUGUUAACCUCGUGAUCUGCCACCUCACCCUCCCAAAGUACUGGGAUUACAGGCGUGAGCUACUGCACCCAGCCUGAUUUAAACAUUUUAAACAGUUUCAACAUGAACCAGUAAACAUCUCAUUACUUUAUAGUCACAUCUUUUUUAUUUUGACCAAGUUUUGCUCUUGUCGCCCAGGCUGGAGUGCAAUGGUACGAUCUCGGCUCACUCUACCCCCUCCCUCUGGGGUUCAAGCGAUUCUCCUGCCUCAGCUUCCCAAGUAGCUGGGAUUACAGGUGCCCACCACCACACCCAGUUAAUUUUUUUGUAUUUUUAGUGGAGACGGGGUUUCACCACGUUGGCCAGGCUGGUCUUGAACUCCUGACCUCAGGUGAUACACCCGCCUUGGCCUCCCAAAGUGCUGGGACUACAGGCAUGAGACACCAAAUACUCAAUCAGUUGAACCGCUUCUGCCAUCUUGGCUAGACAAGAUGUGACCUAUAGUCAGCUCUGUCAUCCUGUCACAUAUGAAUGCUUUCCUUCCUUUGCACUACAACUUGAAGUUAGUGGAGGUCUUGGGGACCACACACAUAGUAAGACUACAACCUAGUAUGGUUAUGUAGCUUGCUCAAGGCCACUGGAAGAGAGCUAAGCCAUUCCCCUGCCUCAGUCCUAUAGACCUUGAAGACCCACAUGCUGGGAGAGGGCACCAUGGUGAUAUCCCAGGAAGUCAGUGGCAGGGGCAGAACUGGGACCCAGGUGGCUGUAUUCCUACUUUACUGCUCUUUCCACCCCAACUAUUGCAAAGCAAAGGGAGGGUCAGCAGUUAACAUACAGCUUUCAUGCAAACUUAACAGACAGCAUCAGAGAGUAAGUUCAGAAUCCCUUGCAGAAAGAAUAAAAGUGAAACUUACAUCCAGGGCAUCCUGUGUUUCUUGCUUAGUAGGAUUCAUUCG